rnacentral:rRNA from 1 species
UACGAAGGGGGCUAGCGUUGCUCGGAAUCACUGGGCGUAAAGGGUGCGUAGGCGGGGCUUUAAGUCCGGGGUGAAAUCCUGGAGCUCAACUCCAGAACUGCCUUUGAUACUGAAGAUCUUGAGUUCGGGAGAGGUGAGUGGAACUGCGAGUGUAGAGGUGAAAUUCGUAGAUAUUCGCAAGAACACCAGUGGCGAAGGCGGCUCACUGGCCCGAUACUGACGCUGAGGCACGAAAGUGUGGGGAGCGAACAGG